CUGGACCCCCAAAAGCUCUAGUUCCACUUCUGGGACCCUCAACAAAUCCAGGGGAAACCAGGCUUGACAUUCCUAGUGAGACCUGGGAAGGAAAAAGCAGGAAAGGCGCAUUAUUUCUUUGAAAAACAAUUAGGUGGAAAACCCCCAAGCCAAACAAACAAGUCCUCAAAACCUGAGACUGUUUGAAUUUAAGAGUAGAAACUACAAAAAUUAAUAGUGUGAUUGGGUUUGAGCUGUUGUUCCAGAAAUAUUGAGUGGACUAUCUGUUUUCUCAGGAGCACAACCCUGUUUGUUGGGAUGUCAUGAGCACAAAGUCUCCUGGAUGAAGGUGUGGCUGAAGACACAUGACCUGGGGACACCAAACUGCCGUGAGGGAACGUGUGUGCAGUAGCCCAAAUGUUGGGAAUGAAAUGAUCAGGGAAACAGCUGCAGCCCUCAGAGGCACAGGAAGAGCAUUCCUGCAAAACAUCUGUGGAUUUACAUGUGUAGGGUUCCUGUUGGGUACAGAGGCAGAAUCUGUGGGCACUUCUUUGUACAGCUGAGGGAAUCUGGGAUGGACCAAACCCUGCUGAUCUCAUCGGUGCUGAGACCUGGUGAAAAUUCAGGCUUGGCCUCCUGGGACCCAUUAGAGCUCUUCAUUGAUUUAAUCAAGAAGUUUAAUACCAGAAGGGACUGUUUGAUCUCUUGGACCUGGAGAACUUUGGUCCGUUCAAAGAGCAGCAUCCCUGCCAGGAUGGAUGUGUCUCACCCAGCCCCAUCCUGAGCCGCUCAGCCCGUGACAGCCUUUCAGUCCACUGAUCCAAUGUGACAAGAGCAGUGCUGACUCCUUCCCUGCAGUGGCUCAUAAGGACAAGUUAUUAAGGUAUUGAGUCCCAGGAUGGGGGCCAAGGGGGUUCAGACACCGCCUGCACCACUAUUGCUGUCUCCAUCCUCCUCUGGGCUGUGUUUACAGAUCAGCUUGAAAUUUCCUAAAUAAGUUGAUUCUAUCCAUCAACAAAUCCCCUUUGAAUAAUGCACAUUUCAUGGCAGUUUCCAGUGUUCU
rnacentral:lncRNA from 1 species